AUCAGCUGCAUCAUUAAAUUAUAACAAGCCCUGACGGGCACUCCAGAAGCCUGGGUCUGUUUGUCCUUGCCGGCGGUCAGGAGGCAGUUAGCGAUUGGCUGGGCCUAGAGGCCUUAUCUCUGGCUGAUUAUUAUUUGAUUAAAGAGCCUUCCUCCUCUUGUGAGGUUUCGAAACUUGCAGGGGUUGUGGCGUCCACGCUGCAAGAGUUUGCUGCUGCCAGGGGACUUUUUCUGAGGUUCUGGCCAAGCACCCAAAGUCCCUCAGCUUUUGGCCAUACAAACAGGCACCCAGUGGAGUGGGACCUUAUCACUGACUCACCUGCACUCUUGGACCGAAAUCUCCAGAGCCUCUGUCAGCGUUGCCCGUCGACUGAUUGGACACAAUUUUUCAAACACCACAGAAUCAAGGCUCCAGCCCUGACUCCCCACUCUGGCUGAGGAGCUCGGACCUGACAGAUCAAGUUUGUUAGCACACAGCCACGCCCAUUUGUUUAGGUGUUGUUUGUGGCUGCUUUUGUACUAUAACAGCAGGGUUGAGUAGUUGCAAUCGAGACUGCAUGGCCACAAAGCCUGAAAUAUUGGCUGUCUGGCCCUUUAAACAAGAUGCUUACCAACUCCUGACUUGGACCUAAGUGUUGGAGUAGAACAUGUCCGUGUAAAAUAUUGUCUUGGUUCCUUGCUAGCUGUGACAUUCAAAAGGCUGCACAACCUCUCUGUGAAACCUAAUCUGUACCGCCGGAUAAUAGGUAAUACUUGCCUUGGAGGGUAGCUGUGAGAAGGUAGUGAGAAAUUCUUUGUAAGAACUUGCAGCUUUGUGUCUGGCACAGAAUAAAUGCUCAGCUAUUAUGAUGACCAUUCAUUCAUUUAUACAACACAUAUAUGUUUAGUGCUUUCUCUGUGGUAGGCUGGGAAACUACAGCAGUGAUCAACUCAUAGAAGGUCCCUGCUCUCAUGGAGGUCACACUCUAAUGGGAGAAAUCAGACAAUAAUCAAGAGAACAAAUAAAUCAGCAGAUUAUUUUCAGAUCAUGACAAGUGCUAUAAUUAAAAUUGGGCGAUCUGGUAGAAAGUGUUAAGGCAGGGGACAAAAAGUUGCUGGCUGAACUAAGACUUAAAAAUAAGAAUGAGUCAAACAUGCCAAUGUCUGGAGAAGAAAUGUUCCUGGCAGAGAAGGUGAUAAAUCCAGAGGCCCUGGGCCAGAGAUGACCUUGGGAUGGUCCUGGUACAGAGAGAAGGGCUGGCACAGAGGGAGGUAGAGGAGAAUUGUAGGGAACAAGGAAGGAGAGCCAGGCAGGGGCAAAAGCAUGCAGGAGCUUGCAGGGAAGACAUUUGAAUUUUAGGGGCAGGGGUGAAAUCUGUGACCACGGAUGGGGAGGAUCUGGACCAGGUCCUUGGCCUCUGCCUGUGAUCUUUGCUGUAAGGACUAUUAUCCUUCCUCCUUGGAUUCUAGCACUGGUGACUUUUGAAACAGGAGAUGAGGAGGGGCCCUAGAGAGCCCAUGUUGAAAUGGGAGCUCUUGGAUAUGGCAAGUCCAUCAUGCUCCCCCAGCUGGACCUAGCUACCUUGCUUGAGCUUUUCUCCUUACAGUGCCCCUGACUCACCUGAAAGUUCUUCUGACCAAUGCCAUUACCUCUUUGAGAGCAUUCUUAUCAGGAGAGCUCCAAUGCAAUUCCAGGUGGAGCACUUAAGGUGAAAACCACUUUAUGUAAUCUUAAAACCCUCUAAUAAAUUUCCAACAACCUAAGACUACCAGAUAAUCAGUUUAUCCCUAGGGUCACUCCGAAUUCAUUGCUUAGUUCCCAUAAUUAGCAUUUCUUUUAUGUCUGAACCGUUGAACAGCCGUGAAGAGCCCCAGUGAUAAUAUUUUAGCUGUUUGAGGUUUAAAAGAAAGCUUUAGAUACCAUCAGUUACUCAAACUGCUUCCACAGUUGCUAAUAAUAACAGCCACACAGUACUCAACAGUUUUAAAGCACUGCCACAUAAUUGGCUCAUUUAUAGGUAAAAGUCUACCUUUGACUACCAGCCUUUAUCCGUUUUGGAUGACUCCUCCAACUCCUCCUCCUACACCUCUUGCUCCUGCUUCUUCCUCAUCUUCAUUACUACAAAGCCCUUUAUUAGAAAGCAUCUGCCUCACUAACAGCAGUCAAUGCUUCAUACUUCCCUUACAAUGUGCAAAUACGGGAUUCUGUCUCAAGUUGCUUUAGACAUUGUUAAAAGAACAAGAUCAAAAUGUGGCUAUCUUCCAAAUCAUGCUUUCAAACACUGGGGCCACAAAUGACCUUGGAAAGGUGUUAUGAAUCCCCUGAAAUCGAAUGCAAAAUUUUAUAUGCACUCUUUUCCUGGGAAAGAGUGGGUUUUAUCAGAUUCUCAAAGAAUCCCCUAGCUCCCAGAAGUUAAGAAUUUUAAAGAUAUUUUAAAGAUAUUGCUGACUCAAUUAACAGGACAGUUAAAUCAUGCUGGGGUAGGGUAGCUAGUUCAGCAUGAAAUACUAAAAUACCUCAUUUUUCAAUUAUGAUCUAUGAAAGCAAGGGGGAUUGAUAUCUGAUCAAAUGAAAUCUUCCUUUCAGAGGACUGGACAUUUUCCUAGGAACUCUGUGGUAUAUGCAAAUAUUAUAUAAAGUCUAUGUGUGCUAGGCACUGCUUCCGUGCUUUUUAGAUUUUAACUCUUGUGGUAGGUUGAAUUAUGUACCUCAGAAAGAAAUACAGUCUUAAUCUUAACCCUUUCCUGUGGGUAUGAACCCAUUGUAAAUAGGACCUUUUGAAGAUGUUAUUUUAGUUGAGUGGCCAAGUGAAAUAGAAUGGAUCUUAAUCCAGAUUACAGAAGAAAUUCAGUGAUAGUAAGAGAAAGCCACAUAGAGGAGAAGAAUGGAAGUCAAUGGAACCUUUGAGAGAAAGGAGAAGACAUCUCCAAGUGACAGAAAAGCCAAGGACCCAAGGAUUGCUGGCAACCAGCCCCAGAACACCACAGUCUUCAUGUGGAAAGCACUGCCUUCCUGAUGCCUUGAUUUUGAACUUCUCCUACCCUCAAAACCAUGAACCAAUAAAUUCCCCCUUGGUUUAAGCCAAUCCAUUGUUUGGUAUUUGUUUUAGCCAUCAGGAAUCUAAGACAUCUCAUAAUCCUCACAACAAUCCUGUAAUGCAGUUACUAGUUACUAUUUUAAGUCCUCUUUUACAGAUGAGGGAAACUGAGGCAUGCAGUGAUUAAAAACUAUAGAUUGGGUUUACACUCAACAUUCCAAGAACAUUAAAAAUUCUGGAUAAUGUAAUUUGAAUAACUGUACCUACUGGUUCAGAAAAAUGAUCACUCUGGACAUGUUUGAACAGUGGCCAUGUUGUAAUCUUGAAGCAUAUGCCUGCUUAAUAACAGACUUCCUAUACAUGCCACUACUGAUUUUAUGAAUAAGAAUAGUUUAGCAGAUCACAUGCAGAGGAGAGCCAGCUGACUACUCUUCUUAAUUAGAAUUUGGCUGAGAGUCACUAUGAUAUAUAAAAUGGGGUUACUGCCUGAGCAGGUAAUUUUCUUGUUAUAACUACCGAAAAAUUCACACUGUAUACAUAAGGCAUGCCACAACUCUGAAGAGCUUAAAGUCAACUAUACCUUAUCUCUUGGAGCUUAAAGUUUCACUCAUUUCUGGAUUUGUUCAAUUGAUGAGACUUCAGAUAUAAUUCAUC
rnacentral:lncRNA from 1 species